ACCCAACUAAGUUUGUUCUGGGUAUAAGCUUUUGUGUGUAUCUGAAGAAGUGUGCAUGCACAUGAAAGCUUAUACCCAGAACAAACUUAGUUGGUC